AGUGAUGAUGGAAGAGCAGAUUGAAAGCAAGGCAUCUAAAUUUACAGAUACUGACACUGGAGAUUCUCCCAAAGGAGUUAUAAUGCAACAGGAUUAAAAAAGAUUCAGAUGCACUUAAGUGGCCGACGCACUGUUGUGAUAUCAACCCAGAAGUUCCAAUGCUCCAGGAAUCCAUCAGCAGGGUGUGGGUUACAUGAAGGGAGACCACCAUCUAAAUCUUGCAAAUUGCCACUGUCCAUCCACCCGCUGGCUUGAGCUGCAGAGAGCUGUGUCGGGCAUAGUGCCCUUGAGAGGUGCCACUGCCACACCUGCCAAACAUCUGACCCUGAUCAAGUGGAGAAAGAAGUGAACCAGGAAGAAUAUGUUCAGUGAGACCCACCAGCCCUCUCUAGGUGCUGAUUGAGAAUACAGGGCUUGUAGGGGCCAUGUCUAUGACCACGGAGGACCAAGUUUGGAGAGAGCAAUUGCUGCAGGAGAGGGAAAUGGACUGAAAAGUGAAGUGGGAAGUGCACCAGGGCAUCCUGGGUUUGCUCAGGCAACACACUCAGAUAUUGCAGAGCAUUACCAGACACCCCAGAUACAGCCUUUCUACUCUGUGGAAAGCUCCCUAGUUGCUGCCCCUUGUAAUCCCCCAACAUAUCAAGGCAGCAUAGUUCCGACUCUUAUUCCUACCACUCCACAUCAAGGGAAAAUGAGAACCACA